CAAAUGGCAGGAUGUACAAUCACAUGCAGAAGAAAAUAUUUAUUUUGACUCAGAAGGCAAAGGGAUUAAGAGAACAUUGUAUUAACGUUGCCUUUCAUCUAUGUUUUAAAGGGAAAUUCUCCAGAGGCGUCCAUUGAAGUUCUAUUUUUUUUUUAUAAAGAGUAUCAAAGACUUUUAGGAGACCAGGUGUGUGUUUAUCUGAGGGGAGGAGAGAAAGGGAGGAAACUAUAUUAGGGGGAAAGGCAGCUUUCACAAAGCUGCCUCAGAGACUGCAAAAAGAUGUAUGUGCAGGAAUCUGUUACAGGCAUUCCUACCAGCCAGCUCCUCCCCCCCCACUCACCCACUCCUUUUUUUUCCUGCUGCUUGGAAACAAAAUAGCUUUUUUUUCCCAAGCAGGUUAUCAUAUUCAUGGCAUGGUCAAUUUCCGUUUGCCAAGAAAAUAUUUAGGCUGAUCAAAGAAAUUACAAAAUCGGAUGAAUAGAAACAGACGUUCCCACAAGAGAAGCGUUUCUCAAUGUGAAGAGGCAGGCGGAUUGAAGCCCACCCAGUUGCUCCUAGGAAAUAGAUCUCUUGCCAAAGGCUGAACUACAGGGCCACCUGGAUUCUGCUGGAAGGACUUUGGAAGAGUCACAAUUCCCCAGGAAAAUCAGAGGGAUCCUGGAGCUUGAGACUCUCUGGUGGUGGACAUGUAAGAUGAUCGGUCCUAGUAUCUAUGUACAAAUCAGGAGAGCCUUUACGUCCAUUAAUACAGAGGGACCUUUCAAGCCGGAAGAUGAGUGAGUUUGGGAUCCUUUUUGUUUUGCUUUGCCUGGUUUAUUAUGAGCACAGAAAGUCAAGAACACAUUAUCCUUUGUAAAGGAGAGAGAAAUAUGUACUUUUGGAAUGGACGGAUAGCAGUUUCUCCCGAUUAACGUAAAUUCCGGUUUUAGAUGUGUGAGUUUGGGUGGGGAAUGGUUGAUAGUAGUUGUCUUCUGGACCCUCUGGUCUCCAAGGGUGCGCCCCGGCCAACUGGUGACAGUAAAUAAGGUCUUCUCUCUCUUCGUUGUUCCUGGACAAGGUGUCUCCAAACCAGGUGAGGCCAUUUGCUGCGGCGCCUGGAUGUGAAGGACUGGCUAGUGUCGCGGUUUCCUCCCGCAGGACUCACGAAACUGAAAAGAGGGCUCCGCUGCUGGAAAGGGGAUCCAGAUUCCAACCCCCCUACCAUCGCCACCACCGCUCGCCUCGGGCAAAUUGGGGCACCUCAAAUCCCAAGUGAAGCGUCUCUGAUGCUUCCAGUUUUCCGAGGGAGAAAGCGAGGACGAGAUGGCCCUAAAGGAAGGCAACUAUGGGGAGAGCUCAAGGAGCCAAAGAAGUCUCCUUCCUGCGAGUCCUGCUCGGAGCUAUGCGGCGCUGGCAAGGCCGCGGCUGACCAUGCGAUUCCCGAGUUGUGGGCUGAGAAUCCAAUUCAGUCACCCUAUAGCCAGCCCCUCCUCGCCGCGCGCCCCUCACCCCGGUGGCUCAACCCGGCAGAUUUUCUUUUCUUUCUCUCUUUUUGUUUUGGUUCGGUUCCUGCUGGUCGGAAUCCUUUGCCAGGAAGACAGCGCCCUCUCUCUCCUCCCGCCGCGCCCGCCGCGGGCCGGCGCCCUCUCUCUGCUCCGCUGACCUCCCGGCGUCUUGCGCUUGCCCCCGCCCUCCCCAGCCCUGUCCAGUCCUUCCUCACGCCUCAGUAACCUCCCCAGGGAACAACGCGAGAGAGCGGCGGGGUCCAAAGCUUGCUCAAGUCCGGACCCCAGGUCAGCCGGGCCUGAACGCCCGACCUCUGGCGGCUUGACUGGGCGGAGCCGUCCCCGGCGCGUACGCGGCCCCCGGGAGGGGUUCCUGGCGCAGGCGGCGGGGCGGGAGUGAGGCCCGGCUCCCCCAGGCUGGGCACAGCCAGCUAGCGGGCGGGGCCGCGAGCACGCGGCGCUGUGAGCUCUCCCCGGCGCCCGCGCGCCGCGAGCUGGCCGCGCGCGCGCACCUGGCCAAGAGGCUUACCCCCGACCUUAGGAUGGGCGGGCGAAACGUGGACACUGGCCUGCAUGGGGGUUAUGGGUGAGCGUGGAGGGUGAACUUUGAAGAGAGGCAAGGAAAAGUCUUACGGCCUGUUCCGCGAGUCCCCAAAGCGCCGCGGUCCGCGGGUUUCCAGGAGGGCUGCGCCAAGCACAGCAGCAGUGUUGGAAACAUUGUUGCAAAAGCCAAGCUGGGGCGGGUGGACCAGACGCGCGGAGGGGCAUGGGUGAGUGGGUACCUUCCCACUACCCUCCACCCAGUGUGUAUUUCCCACAGCCCAGAGGACUAGUGCUUCAGACAAAUGCCGCGCGGCCCAGUCCGGAGCAGAGGCAGUCAAGGUUCUGUCCGCGAAAAUCUGGAUCCUUUAGAACCCAAACAAUGUACUCAUAUGGGAAUGCAGAAACAUUUCCCGUGGCGUGGAUUUGCACCGGCGCAGAAAGGUACUUGACAUCUGACGUUGAGUGGCGUCUUCUGGCUCAAAUCUGGCGGCUGGCGAGUCCCUGGGCCUGAGCCUCCUCAGAGCGCGCAGCUGAAGCCGGCCCUUUUCGCCCAGGUGGCCAAGCCACUUUCUUUGACUCUACCGACAGGCGCCCCCACGUUGUGACGACGCCACCACUCUGUGUGGCUGGAUCCCAUCGACUGAGCUGAUGCCCCUGCCCAGACUUCAGAGUCACCUGGAACAGCAAGUGGAUGGGAAAGAACCUUGACAACACAAAACUCAUUUACUAAUGGACUGGUUUUGGGUUUCUCUUCUCCGGGUCCGCAAACCUCCCUGCCCGAGCCCUCCGCCUAUUCAGAGCUUGCGGGGAGCGGCGUCCCCCAGGAGGCAGGUGGGCGGCUGCUCCGGCGCCUCGCGGGCCGUCGGAGACCGGGAUCCUAAGGAUCGAGGGCACCCGGAGUUCCCGACCGAGCAGAGGAAAAAGAUGAAUGUUGUCACUUCAACCAGGAUUUGGGGAGUCCCCGCACUGCCCCAGAGGACACCUCUCGAUGCCUUCCCUUCCAAAUAUCUGUAGGUAGAAUAGGAUCCCCACUGUCGUUCUUGUUGGCGAAGGAAUUCCAAGAAAGCGGGCCGGGAGCCCCAAAGCAUCUCUCUCCAAGCCAGAGGGAAACAAGUGGGUCCCAGCCAGAGGUUUUUAAACCAAGGCCUUAAGUCAACCCAGCCAGAAAUCCCAGCAGCAACUAGUGCCUGUGUGGACCUUCCGUAGACCAGUUGUGCACAUUCCAGCCGUUACCUGCACAGAAGAGACAGAAGAACUGAAACCUGGCGUCGGGCACCCCUCGCCAGCCGCGUUCCCCUCGGGAGCUGCGAUGCGGCGAGGGCAUCAGUUAGAGUUGCUCUUUCCCUUUAAAUCUUCGACGCAUCUCUGUUUUUCGUGUGAUUUGCAUUGACAGCAAAGGUUUUAAGUUACUAGAACAACUCAAACCUUUCUGUGUGCGAUUUAAAAUGGAUCAUUUGGUUUAUGUGGUUUGUAAAUUCAUGUCAUUUUACCUCUUUUAGUGGUUUCAGUGAAAGGUUCCAUUUUGGGAAACCUUAUAUAUCCGAGUCAAUAAUUAACAUUUAUAACAAUUGGUUCCCCUAACCAAGGGAUCGAAAUAGCAGGUAGGCUCGUUAGUACAAAGGGAAUAGCACUUUUCCUUUCUAGUUAUGCUAUCUGUUGGAUGAAACGCAAGCAGAAAGGGUGGCGGACCCGGGAACUGCCUGAGAGGAUGAGCACCACUUCUCAUCAACCCCGGUGCCCGCAAUCACGGCAUCCACAGGGUCGUCUGCCCACUUGUCGCCAAUGUCUAGAAUGUCCUGGUUCCUUUUGAAGAGAGGUGAAAAGAAGUGGGCAGGGAGGUCUGGAGGAAGCUGGAAGAAAGGUGGUCAUAUUGGUGGCUAAUCGCCAUCUCUUUGCUCUCUCUCAUCCCCUGUAAAUUUAUACCUGUCCUUAUUUGUCCAAGUUAUGCCUCAUUUCCGUAUACAAAAUUGUUAAUUAUAAAGUACACCCCAUACUCAACUUACCGUUUGUCUUUUAAGAGAUGUGGGAGAUGUGGCUGUACUUACAGACACUUAUUACCCCCCCACCCCCCUCACACACUGUAAUUCUGCGCACUUGCUCCAGACUUUAGGGUAUUAACUGAGUUUUAGAGCUGAGUUUAAACUCCGCUCCGGUCCGCACACAGCUGCCAUGUCAAUAAGGACUGUUCCAAGCGGAGACAUUCCUUCUGGCAGGACACUGCCGCUUCUUAAGACUUCAUCUGAAUCAUCAUGAGUACUAAAAUAAGACGGGGAGGGAAAAUUACCAGACACAUGGACUUCAGUUCAGCCGUGCCAGGCUUCCAGUUUAGAAAGUAAGUCACUGGGCACACCAUGUGGUAGGGGCUCUUUUGAAAUAAUACGAACCCAUUAAAUGCACUUAAAAAUAAUUCUAAACGUAAUGAAACAUCAGCAUCUGUUUCCAAGGUCUAAUUGCAUGGGAUACUGCAGAGUUUCAAGGAUGUAAAAAGCAUUGUGUGGGGGAGUUCAGCAGAAAAGCAGCUUCCCUCUACUUGGAAUCUCUGGAGAGGCAGCCAGAAGGUGGAAACCCUUCAUGAGUUUAAAAUGGACAUUGCAGGGCACACUGGACUGGGUGCAUUAUUUUAAAACCAUAUAAAUAAUACAAGGGGAAACCCACAAGGUGCUUC